GAUCUCACAAUCAUCUUCACGAAGAUUCCACCCAUCAGACUACAGUGAAGCUCUACGAAUUCUGCCCACGCGCCGCAGCUUUCCGCACCUAUCGCUCAAACACCCGCCUCUAAACAUCGUCAGACGUGGUUGGCCGAGAUGUCAGGAAGCAUGUGGGAGACUUUCCAGCAGCGUGAAUGCGAGGCCUUGGUGAGGAGGCAGGAGGGUUUUGACAGAGCAGGAGCAUCCUCCAACGAACGGUAGCUGGCUGCACUGCCACUGCCUUCCCAUUCUGAGCAAUAGCCUUCAUCACACAAAGCAGGGUGAAACAGAGAGGGUGUGAAGGGGUUGGAGUCAAAAAGCCAGAUGCAGUCACGGCACAACUGGUUGCAGUGAUUUCAUUACAUGUCAUCUGCCUGCGUUCAUAAAGGUCUGGACUCGCAGACGGCCGUCCGGAAGCCUUCCGCUGUCCAUCAGUGUCGGUGGAAACAACCUGGGCUCCUCACAUUCACUCCCAGCUUUGUUCCGCUGACAGUUUUGUGAGCAUGGACGUCUCUUCCUCCAGCAAAACCCCGUGACACAUCCUCCCUGUUACACACAGCGGGGCCCAGGAGCCAACGCCAGCUGUCACCGGGCGAAGGCAGCUACGCCCUGGACCACUCAGCACAGGCAACAGGCAACAGGCAGGAAUAAAAGCAGCAGAGUGAGUCCGGGCUGCAGGGCCCCCGUGCACAAUGACACUGGCCUGCACCGUUUCUGCACAGAGAAGCUGCGCAUCCAAAGUUGACUAAUGAGUGCAACACUGUGCAGGUUUGAGCUCAUAAUGAGGUCAAGGUUAAACUCAGGAUCAGUUCUUACCAUCCUUCCUGAGGCGAAUGAAUUCCAUGUCUGUCGUUAUAACGGUUGAUCAGCUGACUGACGGACCGACUGCAGCAGCAGCAAAUGAAAUCUCAGCACCCUGUUAUUGAAACAAUGUGACGUUAUGACAUUUUUAUCUUUGACAUUCUGAAUCCUGCUGUGGUAUAAACAGUGCAUGGUGGCAUUUAGCCUUGCUGUGGUCAGUCUCCUGCUGCAUCAGCGCCAACGUUUAUCACACGCUGCCCUUGCCUUGGCUUUAUCGCUCCCUCACAAAGGGCAAAUAAAGGUUGGUUAUUUGAUAAAAUAAAUCAUCGCAGGCUGUUUACAGCCAUGUUUGGCCCUCGGUCUCGCCGUGUGAACAGCAGAGCUUUUUAACGGGCAGCAGAACGAAGCAUGUGAAUGUCUGGGGAGGGGUCCUCGUCAGCGUUCCUCCUACAGGAGCUCGGAGCGGGCGUCCAACCCUGUUUUGUGUUGAAGGACAGGCUGUGAUACAGCGUGAAGCCUUGGGCGCCGUUAGCAUCCAGCCUCCACAGGCCCACCUGACGUACCUCUGCUCACUGUUCCUCUCCAGACCUUUUCAUUAGUGCUCAUUUUAGAUGGAGAGCUGGGCCCUGGGUCUGCGCUUCCAUCCCAUCCACUUUCCUCCUCACCCUUUGGGGCCAAUUAGGACGCUGGAGCUGAAAAUAAAUGAAACACAGUGGCAAAACAGCGUUUACUUCAAAACCUAACGCUUAAUUUGAAGAUCUCGCUCUCUGAUCUGGAGUUGAAUUAGCAGAGUGAUAUUCCCUUUGAUCUUGUAGGUUUUGCAUUUGUUGCCAACUUAUUGAGUGGAGACUCCAGAGGAACAGUGAGCGCUCGGUGCACACACACAGACACACAAACACACGUACACAAAAAUAUGAGCCCAAAAAAAGAAGGCUGCAUCACAAAUACACGCUGAAACAUUUAAGGAGACAAUUCUGGUCUGUUACACUGCAGGAAAUUAAUUUAAUAAUGUAAGAUCUUUUAGAUUUCAUGAUUCAAAUCCGUUUUUCAAAAACCAGACCUUACUAAACCAUAUUGAAAUCUGGUCCAGGUACCACUGGGGUCCCUCAGGGCUGCAUAUUAGGACAACUACUGCUCACUGCUUAUGUAAAUGACAGGAGAGGCCUGUCUGGUCCUCAUGUGCAGACAAAAAUGGAUGCUGCUGAUGCUGAUUUGCAUAAACAUGCACAUGCACGAAAAUGAGAAGCUGUGAGAAAUCAUGCUCCUCUGACAGUCUAGUAAACAGCAUAAGUGUACAACAACAUAACAAUGUAAAGAG